AUUAACGCUAGCUACAGGCUUAACACAUGCAAGUCGAGGGGCAGCAUGGUCUUAGCUUGYUAAGGCCGAUGGCGACCGGCGCACGGGUGAGUAACACGUAUCCAACCUGCCGUCUACUCUUGGACAGCCUUCUGAAAGGAAGAUUAAUACAAGAUGGCAUCAUGAGUCCGCAUGUUCACAUGAUUAAAGGUAUUCCGGUAGACGAUGGGGAUGCGUUCCAUUAGAUAGUAGGCGGGGUAACGGCCCACCUAGUCUUCGAUGGAUAGGGGUUCUGAGAGGAAGGUCCCCCACAUUGGAACUGAGACACGGUCCAAACUCCUACGGGAGGCAGCAGUGAGGAAUAUUGGUCAAUGGGCGAGAGCCUGAACCAGCCAAGUAGCGUGAAGGAUGACUGCCCUAUGGGUUGUAAACUUCUUUUAUAAAGGAAUAAAGUCGGGUAUGGAUACCCGUUUGCAUGUACUUUAUGAAUAAGGAUCGGCUAACUCCGUGCCAGCAGCCGCGGUAAUACGGAGGAUCCGAGCGUUAUCCGGAUUUAUUGGGUUUAAAGGGAGCGUAGAUGGAUGUUUAAGUCAGUUGUGAAAGUUUGCGGCUCAACCGUAAAAUUGCAGUUGAUACUGGAUAUCUUGAGUGCAGUUGAGGCAGGCGGAAUUCGUGGUGUAGCGGUGAAAUGCUUAGAUAUCACGAAGAACUCCGAUUG
rnacentral:rRNA from 1 species